UGAUCUUAUAAUGAAAUUUUAUUUGGAGUCCUACAUCAUGUAUAGCUCACAAACCAGCAUCUGUUAUUAUUAUUAUUAUUAUUAUUAUUAUUAUUAUUAUCAUGGGCUGACACAGUUAAAGCCUCACUGGGUCCAGUAUUUUGGGCUCUGAGGCCAUCUCAGCUUCCUGUUCCACUUUGAGCUCAUUGGUGAGCUCCGAUCAGGCGGGUGGGGGCUGAAGGGGGCUGAAGGGGGGGGGGGGGGGCAUCCACUACUGCGCCUCUCUGCGUCCGCCGUGCGCUGCUGCGGCGGCGGCGGAGGAGGAGGAGGAGGAAGAGGAGGAAGAGGAAGAGGAAGGGACCAGAGAAACCGUCCACAGCCAUUCAAACGCAGAGAGAGCAGCAGUGAAUGGAAGCAGCGCGGUGUUUACCUCCCGUCACAUGCCGAGGUCCAGAGGUCCAGAGGUGCUGAGAUAUGAUGCUCGGCAGAAAGCAGCUGCAUGAGAUCCGGAUUCUACCAUGAGAGGAACCGGCAUGGACCUGCUGUGGAGGAUCCUCGCAGCUCUCAGCUUCGACUGCUUCAAAGAUUCAUCGUCUUCAAGGUCCCCCACCAAGCUGAGCUCCAGCCAGGCCGGCAGCCUGGAGAGCAGCUCCCUGACCGGCUCCCUGUCGCUGGGCCCCGACCUGCCUCACUGCCAGUGCUGCAUCUCCUAUGAGGUCCGUCUGAAGCGUCUGUCCUGCGGCCACCUCUACUGCGACCCCUGCUGCGACCAGAUCGUCAACCUGGCCUUCGAGGACAUCGAGGGCCUGUCCGACUACCCCUGUCCGAUGUGCAAGUCCAUCCGGCAGCUGGGAGGCCUGGGCCCGUCCUCCUCUGAGUACUUCUGCGGGCCCUACAGCAUGCUGCAGCAGGAGCACGGGAGCCGGUGGGGUUAG
rnacentral:lncRNA from 1 species